UCGAGUUUGGUGGAAAUGUUGCCAUUGAUUUCAUUGGGUCACGGUUGCACCUACAAAUUUAGUGAACUGCUUAUUGAUAAAUCUGACAGUGCUGGGGGGAGCACAAUGAUAUUUGUCACUUUAUAAAGACCUGUUUACAUAAGAUUUUGACCUGAAAGUUGUUUGGCCAUGCAGGAAGACCUGAGUGGCCCCAUUUCAAGCUGUAUUUGGACCUCAAGCUUCCACCCAGGGCAGAACAAACCUGCUGAACGUCCCAAGCACAUGAAGAGCUGAAUUUACAGGGGACAGAUGGAGACGUGCACUGGCCAGAGUACAGGGGAGGAGCCAACCUAAGAAAAGCACCGAAGAGCUGUGGCUGCGAACCUGACUCAAGCACAUCUCCCCUCUGGGCUCCUCGCAGCAAGAAGCCCUGCUCCAGUCUGCACCAGGAAAAGACAGCUAUGGGGACGUAACCUCAGGCUUCAACAUCCUCUGUUCCCAGGCAUUUUGCUUCCAGAACUCCUACGUUUGUUCAGGUCUCCCUAUGUUGGAUCAGUUCCCUGAACUGGACCAUAGACUGGUUGCCUAAGCAGAUGGACCAACACAAAAAGGACUGUGGUGCAGAGAAGA